UACGGGGGGGGCAAGCGUUGUUCGGAAUUACUGGGCGUAAAGGGCUCGUAGGUGGCCAACUAAGUCAGACGUGAAAUCCCUCGGCUUAACCGGGGAACUGCGUCUGAUACUGGAUGGCUUGAGUUUGGGAGAGGGACGCGGAAUUCCAGGUGUAGCGGUGAAAUGCGUAGAUAUCUGGAGGAACACCGGUGGCGAAGGCGGCGUCCUGGACCAACACUGACACUGAGGUGCGAGAGCGUGGGGAGCGAACCGG
rnacentral:rRNA from 1 species